GAGCGGUUUUGCUCAAUUAAAACAAAAAAGAACUGAAAAUGCCGGCGAAGAACUGCAUUUAAAUGAGCAAUUUUGGCAACGUCCAAUGAAACCUCUCAGCCUGUCGAUGCUCCUCCCCGUGGUUCUACGAGGACUACGCAAAUCGUACGGCAGGCAAACUCUACAUGAAAGUGCCUUGCGACUGAUGGGCGCAAUGAGAAACUUCAUCAGCAAUAAAACUCUUGGACCUGGAGGAAACUUAAACCCCGACAAGACCCUUACUCAAGUCGAAACUUGCUCCGCAAAAUUGCCGGCCUUUUGAAGUUAAUAAAUUCCUCAUUGUGCUGCGAA
rnacentral:lncRNA from 1 species